GAGCUCUGCCCGGGUAGGAGGGCGUGCGGCCGCAGGGCUGGCAGCGCCCGUGGCGCGCAGCUGUGCCGCCUGGGGCUGCCAGAGGCUCUGUCUUCCCAGGGCUGGCCGGAGUGCUCGUGAAGGGGCAGAAGGAGGAGCUCCAGGUCCUCAGCGAGGCUCUCCAAGCCCUCAGGGAAAAUGAGAGCCCAUCCUGCAUCAGCGUCCUGAUUCAGCUGGCUUUCAAGAGAAGAUGUGCAGGACUUCGUUCCUCUGCUGGAUCAGAUGUACCAUCGGCGUCCAUUGGCGAUUUCCAGCUCCCACUGAAGGUGGGAGAACCUGCAGAGCAGGAUGGAUCAGCUGGAGCUCCAGGCACAGCUCUUGCUGCUCAGAGCUGAGCUUGUGGGAAGCUCCAGGAGCUCCUGCCAUCUGUCUCCCUGUUGACAGCUCCCUCCCUCCAGCUCUCAGGCCCUGCCCACUCCCUUUUUUUGUCUCCCUGCUCACCCCUUUGCUUCGCUUUCUCUUAAUAAACAGUUUGGGUUUUUCACUUGA